rnacentral:rRNA from 1 species
AGAGUUUGAUCCUGGCUCAGAACGAACGCUGGCGGCAGGCUUAACACAUGCAAGUCGAGCGCCCCUAUAUCUUCGGAUGGACGGGGAGCGGCAGACGGGUGAGUAACGCGUGGGAACCUACCAUUUGGUACGGAAUAACGCAGGGAAACUUGUGCUAAUACCGUAUGUGCCCUUCGGGGGAAAGAUUUAUUGCCAAAUGAUGGGCCCGCGUUGGAUUAGUUUGUUGGUGAGGUAACGGCUCACCAAGACUACGAUCUAUAGCUGGUCUGAGAGGACGAUCAGCCACACUGGGACUGAGACACGGCCCAGACUCCUACGGGAGGCAGCAGUGGGGAAUAUUGGACAAUGGGCGCAAGCCUGAUCCAGCCAUGCCGCGUGUGUGAAGAAGGCCUUAGGGUUGUAAAACACUUUCAAUCGUGAUGAUAAUGACAGUAGCGAUAGAAGAAGUUCCGCUAACU